GCAGCAGUGGCGCAGGUGCGCACGGUGCCGCGGACGUUUCUGGCGUGGGUGGGUGGGUUUUGGGCUCUGGCCCCGUCUUCUGCC
rnacentral:tRNA from 1 species